rnacentral:lncRNA from 10 species
AAUGUAUAAGGAGAGUGACAUCAGUAAGAUAAAAAGAUUAAAAGUGCCCUAUUUUCAUAUUCCCUUACAGCAAAAAAAGUCAGCCAUCCCUGACAAAAAUGCCUUUAUGAGAGAACAGGGCAUUAUUGCUCACAUCUAUAAUGACAGCUUCAUGGUACAUUAGGUUGGAAAACUGCUUCAGGUGAGGAUUUUGAGGCCAGCCUGGGUUAUGUAGCAAGAUGUCAUCUCCCAAAUAAGUGCCUCUAAGAGAGAUGUGAGAUGCAGGGACGCAGUUGUGAAACGAUGUUAAAGCUUAAGUUUGAGAAGGAUUCUAUUCGGAAGGCAGGCCCUCAUUCAUGUGGGAUACUGCAGGACUCCUGUUUUAGCUACAGACCAGGAUAGGGUUCACCCAACUUGGUUCCACUGAGAAUUCUAAACUUACUCUGUAACCAUCCCAAACUCCUCCCAGCCACAGUCUGGCAGAGGUCCUGCUAUUCCAGAUACCUGGAGGAAGGUGCCCAUUUACAUCCAUGCAGGCAGGCCUGCAGAUCUGGGCCUUUACUGGGGUCACUGAGGCAGUUCAAUGACUCAGUUUCAGUUACCCGAGCCACUGUUUAUGGUCAGUUCUCCCUAUAUAGAAACCCACACAGUUACCUGAGGAAAUGCUCUCUGGUACUCACUGAAAGCCAUACUCAUCAACAUCCUGAUACAAGGUCCACCAUAUGCAGACCGAACUGCAAAAACUUGCCCUAGUGUUUGCCCUAUGGAGCAAAGCCCUGAAGGAUAUUCAGUCUGUCCAAAAAUGAAAUGGGAAUUACAACUACCCAAGCCCCUGUAACAAGC